rnacentral:rRNA from 1 species
AUGUCUCGGCUGCUCCUGGCGGCCGCCGUGGCCACGUUGGUGCUCGCCGCCGGAGCAUUCGAGAUCAAGGAGGCGACCCUGGCCAGCAUCCAGCUCGGCUUCAAGAACGGCAGCCUCACCUCCGUGGAUCUCGUCCGGCUCUACCUGGACCGCAUCAGCCGCCUCAACCCGCUCCUCCGCGCCGUCAUCGAGGUCAACCCAGACGCGCUCCACCAUGCCGCUCGUGCGGACGCCGAGCGCCGCUCAGCCUCCUCCAUCAAAUACCUCGCUGGCGGCGGGCUCCUGCACGGCGUCCCUGUCCUCCUCAAGGAUAACAUCGCCACGCACGACGCGCUCAACACCACGGCCGGCUCCUUGACGCUGCUGGGGUCCGUGGCGAGGCGGGACGCCGGCGUGGUGCGCCGGCUCCGCCUGGCCGGCGCGGUGGUGCUCGGCAAGGCCAACCUGGACGAGUGGGCCAACUUCCGCAGCCUGCAUGGCUCAGACGGCUGGAGCGCGCGCGGCGGCCAGGCCCGGAAUCCGUACGUGCUCUCGGCUGAUCCGUGCGGGUCGAGCGGGGGUCCGGCUAUCGCCGCGGCGGCAAACAUGGUCGCGGUGACGCUGGGAACGGAGAGGGACGGCUCCAUACUCUGCCCGGCGUCGCUGAACUCGGUGGUGGGGAUCAAACCGACGGUGGGGUUGACCCGAGCCGGAGUCAUCCCCAUCACACCACGGCAAGACACGAUCUGCACGGUGGCAGAUGCAGUCCAUGUGUUGGACGCCAUUGUUGGCUACAAUGCUCGGGAUGCAGCAGCCACGAGGAAAACUUCCAAAUACAUUCCCCAUGGCGGGUAUAUGCAGUUCUUAAACAUGGACGGAUUAAAGGGGAAGAGAAUCGGUGUCCCCAACGGCUUCUUCAACUUCCCGAAUGGGACUGUGCAGCACAUGGUUACCGGCAACAUCUCAACACAAUGA